AGGGCACCACCAGGAGUGGAGCCUGCGGCUUAAUUUGACUCAACACGGGGAAACUCACCCGGCCAGGACACAAUAAGGAUUGACAGAUUGAUAGCUCUUUCUUGAUUUUGUGGGUGGUGGUGCAUGGCCGUUCUUAGUUGGUGGAGCGAUUUGUCUGGUUAAUUCCGAUAACGAAUGAGACUCUAGCCUAUUAAAUAGACGAUAUAUUAUUAGUUUAUCGAGCUUCUUAGAGGGACAGGCAGCUUCUAGCUGCACGAGAUUGAGCAAUAACAGGUCUGUGAUGCCCUUAGAUGUCCGGGGCUGCACGCGCGCUACAAUGAUAAUAGCAGCGUGCAUUAAAACCUUUUCUGGUAAGAAUUGGUAAACACGAAAUAUUGUCGUGCUUGGGAUAGGGGAUUGAAAUUAUUGCCCUUAAACGAGGAAUUCCCAGUAAGUGCGAGUCAUUAGCUUGCGUUGAUUACGUCCCUGCCCUUUGUACACACCGCCCGUCGCUACUACCGAUUGGAAGAUUUAGUGAAU
rnacentral:rRNA from 1 species